rnacentral:rRNA from 1 species
AACGAACGCUGGCGGCAUGCCUAACACAUGCAAGUCGAACGAUGCCUUCGGGCAUAGUGGCGCACGGGUGCGUAACGCGUGGGAAUCUGCCUUUCGGUUCGGAAUAACUCAGGGAAACUUGAGCUAAUACCGGAUAACGUCGCAAGACCAAAGAUUUAUCACCGAAAGAUGAGCCCGCGUAGGAUUAGCUAGUUGGUGAGGUAAAGGCUCACCAAGGCGACGAUCCUUAGCUGGUCUGAGAGGAUGAUCAGCCACACUGGGACUGAGACACGGCCCAGACUCCGACGGGAGGCAGCAGUGGGGAAUAUUGGACAAUGGGCGAAAGCCUGAUCCAGCAAUGCCGCGUGAGUGAUGAAGGCCUUAGGGUUGUAAAGCUCUUUUACCCGGGAAGAUAAUGACGGUACCGGGAGAAUAAGCCCCGGCUAACUCCGUG